ensembl:lncRNA
UGGCAGUGGAGGCAAAAGUAUCUUACUGGGGAUCCUUGUGUAUCUGAGGUCUUUCAGGGCAAGUCUGCAUAGGCUGAAUAGGAGCCAAAGCAGCAGCCUUCCAAAGAAUCAGGUCAGAUCUACUCCUGGAGCCAUAUAUAGGAUGGCAGUAACAGAUUCAACCUUUGAAAACCUGAAAAUCCUCAGCUGUUCCUAUGUCAGCAAACAGCUGUGUAGGAUUUAGCUGCCAACUGGGGUUAAACCACAACAUGGAGGAAAUGGCUGCUUUCAGGUUUACACAGGAUAUGCCACAUGGUUUAUGGAAAACAUUAUUAGAUAUACUGUUGCAGCUCUCAUCUUCAGCACUGACUAAUGAACUAGUAUGAAAUAUUUUUCCAGUGCAAACUUAUGCAAAUCAACAAUUAAAGAUGUGGUCGAUACUUGCAUCAGAGACAUUGUAGCAUCCAUUGAUACUGACUGAGAUUGAUGGAGACAAGAUUCAUCAUAAACAGAAGCAGAAUAAAAUAUUUCUUCUUAAUUCAGUGUUGGAUCUCUCAUGGUAAAAAAAAAUGAUUUUGAAAAUACCUGUUUGAAGAUCUCUGCCACUGUAUCACUGAAGACUUCAUUUUAUAUUUCUAAUUAAAGAUCAAACCAUGAAAUAAUCCAAUUUUGCAAAGAUUUCAAGUAUCAGAAACUUGGAGAGCAAAUGCUUGGGGAAAAGUUUUAUUCAUCAGACUAAAAAACACCUGUAGGAUGAAUAGUCUUUAUGGAAUGUUUGUAUUUCCAUCCUACAUGAAAGAAUUUCCUAACAGAAUAAAAUGUUAAUUUACAACAGAAGAUCUGAUUUACAGAGUCUACAUAUUUCAAACUAAUGUCUCAGGCCAUUUCCCCAUCCCUUUCUGCAAACAGUUCCACUUCGUCAGUUGUUUAUUCUGAAUAUUCAAAUUAAUCAUUAACUGUUAUCUAAAAAAUAAAUAAAACAACAUAUACUAUGCUCAUGCACUCUCAGCAGAGUAAGCUAAAAGUGGAAUAUUGUCAUUUCCCAAUGAUUCUAUCUUCUAAUAAUAUUGGAUUAAAAACAAACAAACAAUACUUUGAUUUCUUUCAUGUAGUUUUCCACAGAAAUGAUUCUUCUGUCAGUGCCACUAGGCUCUCCUCCAUGCACUUGGAAGGCAUCCAGCAAAAAGCCUCAGAGUUUACUUAUGCCCUACCAGGGGGGAUCAAGAUAUGGUGCAUAUGCAAUGUGUCAUCCAGUGUUUUUAGAACAUGUAAAAGAUCCAGCUGUGCUGUUAAUUUAGUCCAGCCUCGGGGCUUCCACAGCAUAUCAGUGUUACAUGAUCUACAUUCUGGAGCCUACAUUCUAUUCUAAAGUCAGGAAAUUGUGAGGAAUAGAUCCUUAUUGAUCUCCUCACUUCACUAGAAAAGAGCAAGUGUUCAAAAUAAUAAUUAUUAUUCUAUAUAAAGAUAUAGUAGAUAAAAUGUGAUAGAAUAUAGAACUUUCCUGGCAAUAUCUGUAGGCAAGAUUAAAGAUCAGAAAAAAAUGUUGUAUUUUAAAAUUUCUUCAGUUUAUAUUUGUUUCCUAAUAAUUAAAAUAAACAUAAGAGUAAACAAAAAGUACCCAUUUGGCCACUUGGAAAGCAUUCUCUUAGCAAUGCUAAAUUAUUAGUUCAUAUAAUCCUGCUGUUUUAAGUUCCAAACUAAGACAAUAAAUAUUUUCAAAUAUUGUCACUGGCUUUUUGUAUUUGAUUUGAUCUUUUUCUUGUUUGUUUUUUAUAUCCAAAUUUCAUUUAUUUAAGGAAUCUUAAUUUAUAAACUGUUG